rnacentral:rRNA from 1 species
UACGUAGGGUGCAAGCGUUAAUCGGAAUUACUGGGCGUAAAGCGUGCGCAGGCGGCUAUGCAAGACAGAUAUGAAAUCCCCGGGCUCAACCCGGAAACUGCCAUUGAUACUAUUAGUCUUGAAUUCUGUUGAGGUGGGCGGAAUACAUCAUGUAGCGGUGAAAUGCUUAGAUAUGAUGUAGAACACCGAUUGCGAAGGCAGCUCACUAAGCAGACAUUGACGCUGAGGCACGAAAGCGUGGGGAUCAAACAGG